GGGGAGAUACUCAAGCGGUUAACGAGGACAGACUGUAAAUCUGUUGAUUCAUAAUCUUCGUAGGUUCGAAUCCUACUCUCCCCA
rnacentral:tRNA from 1 species